ACAGCCCUGCACGUCGCGAAGUCUCAGGUUCCACCUGAGAUAGCAUAGCCUAGCGACGGUGGGUUUUU
rnacentral:ncRNA from 1 species